AUUGAACGCUGGCGGCAGGCCUCACACAUGCAAGUCGAACGAGUGGCGGAAGGGUGAGUAAUGUCUGGGAAACUGCCUGAUGGAGGGGGAUAACUACUGGAAACCGUAGCUAAUACCGCAUACCAUCAGAUGUGCCCAGAUGGGAUUAGCGAGUUGGUGGGGUAACGGCUCACCAAUGCUCCGAUCCCUAGCUGGUCUGAGAGGAAGACCAGCCAGACUGGAACUGAUACACGGGCCAGAAGCAUACGUGGGGUAGCAGUGGGGAAGAUUGCACAAUGGGCGCAAGCCUGAUGCAGCCAUGCCGCGUGUAUGAAGAAGGCCUUCGGGUUGGAAAGUACUUUCAGCGGGGAGGCGUUACCCGCAGAAGAAGCACCGGCUAACUCCGUGCCAGCAGCCGCGGUAAUAC
rnacentral:rRNA from 1 species